UUGACUUGUGCGUUAUUCGCUCGCUCCUUUGUUUUUUUAUUUUCUCAGCAUUUGCAAAGUUACACGAGCGCACAAAAAGUGUUUGCGCGUUAAAAGAUAAAUUCUUUUCGUGCACACUCCGACCGGGUGACGUUUUCAAGCUCAGUUGUGCUUUGGUCGUCAAAGCUAAUGGAUCUCGCUUUUUGCGCUUCACAGAUGAGACGAGCCAUUUUUGCACUUGCGAUCGUCGCUGUUUGCACGGUGGCUGGGGUCGCGGGGUACGAUCCAUACGCCAUGUGCCCGAAAUUUCACUCGAACAGUCGGCAUCCCUAUCCACCCGAUUGUGAGAAAUUCAUCAACUGCUGGUUCGGUCGAGCUUACGUGCAGGACUGCGUUCCCGGUACACGCUUCAACUCGCGCACUGGCAAUUGCGACUGGCCGUGGAAUACGCCCUGUGCUUUCGGCGGCGAGGAUGUGAUCGAUCCUAGGAUGCUGGCUUAGUUUGGCGUUAGCGGUAAUCAAAAAUACCUGACGAGGGAAGCUGCAGUUGGUGAAGUUCGCCGGAGAGCGUUGACAGACUCAUGUAUUUUGAUACGAAGAAAUGACGAGCGACUCGCGGCGAUUGCUGCGAAAUGUGGUGAAAACGUGAUAAUAUUCGCUUUUAUCAGAGCAAUAAAACGAUUAAGAGAUAUGUGUGGUUUGUUUUCAUUGCCAUGUGCACGAAUGACACAAAUAUCCUGUCCAAAUCAGUUCCUAAGUAUACGCGUAUUUUUAUUGGACUAUAUUUUA